GGCUUUUCUUCUCCCAGGAAGAAUCCAGAAUAGUUCAGACAAGCUUCAGGUCCGCCAGAACCGGGGAAAACAACGUGUAGGGUUUGUUUUAAAGGGCUUUUAAAUGGGGUUUGGGAGAUCCAGGUAGAUUAGAAUCUUGACUCUGCACUGGCUGUGCAAGACAGAAAUUCACCUUUCAAAACUUCUGUUCCCCAGUCUAUGCGGUAAGAAGUUUAGAUUAGCUGAUUUCUAGGGAGAUUUUGGGCAGGCAUGAUUCAGUUCCAUGAAGGGCUGUGGGACAGGACUGCACUAAGAGGUCCUAUAGAUUGGAUUCUUCAGUUCCCUCCCUUCCGCUGGAGAAUAGAGGAAUCUGCCUUCGCUGCACACUAGAUUUACCUGGAGAACAAAUGGAAAGCAGGCCAGGAUCCUGGGUGAAAUGUGGCACAUUUGAGGAGACUUCAACUUCCCUUGCCCUCCAGCUCUGCCUGGAUGGACUGGCCUAUCUCUGCUGGAUUCCCGAAGUGCAUUGUGUAGAGACAGCAACUCAGGUCAGGCUAAAAGCUCAAGCAAGCAAGCGCGCACACACACGCGCGCACACACACACACACACACACAAACACUCAGCUUCCUUAGGACAAGAUAAAAUCUUAGCAUUCCCCUCUCCCCGAUUAGGUAGGUCUCUGGGAGGACUAAGGCUUCAGGUGCAAGGCUCAGAUAACCUGCAGUGUCUCUCCAACUCUGGGAUGACAAAGACCUCACUUCCCUUUUCUGGUGUUCACACAACAAUGAGAAAGUACGGGUAGCCUGCAGAAAGACCUCUCCAUUCAUGGUCCCCCAGGGGUGUGGGUUCUGAGAGGUGGGACCAGCUGCCAGGCCCUUUCUCCAUUGGUUGAGUUCAGCAGGUAACCUGAAGCUUUGCUGAGAGGUGCAUAAAUAAAGAGUGAAACUAGUACCACCUCCUUGAAAUGGGCUGAGUCCCUCUUGCUCACCCUUGACUUGGAAAAACCAGUUUCUCUUUUAUUGUCUGUUACUAAUCUCUAUUCUAAAAAUUCAGCUCAAUUCUCAACCAUACUCCAAACUCUCUCUUUUCCAGCUACCUUUACUCCCUCUCCUUCAAUUCCACUUUCCUCUGCUUACUUUUUUUUUUUUUCUGACAGGGUCUCACUUUGUCGCCCGGGCAGGAGUGCAGUGGCUCAAUCUUGGGCUCACUGCAGCCUCAACCUCCCAGAGGCGGGGUUUCACCAUGUUGCCCAGACUGGUCUUGAACUCCUGAGCUUAAGCAAUCCACCUGCCUCGGCCUCCCAAAGUGUUGGGAUCACAGGCGUGAGCCACCGCAUCCGGCCUCAUGUUCUUUUUCAUUAAAGAGAGAAAUCAACUAUUCAGGACCGGCCCCCACCUUUCCUCAGGAGUCAUUUCUGUUCCGCACAGGCCUGCUGAACUGGGUGCUUUAUAUAGGACACUGUCAUCUCUCAAGUACCCAUCUUGGAGGGUACGGACCCCACAUGAGGAAAGGACCAACCACACCGAGCUCAGUUAUGGCACACACAGUGGGACCUAGACAAAGGGAGAGGGUGACCGACAUCCCAACUAGGGUCCCCAGGCAGGUGGCUGGGACACUAUUUGCAAUCAGCAAGGAACCCUGCUGCCCUUAGACUCCCCACAGAGCAAGCAGAACUUGCAGAAUGGGGUAAAAACACUCUAUUAAAGAUUUUUUAAACCUAUUUAUAUUGUAAUAAAGUAAAUGUAAAUAAAAUUUAAGUGAAGGCAGAUUGCAGAUAUUUCCGAUGCUAUACAAGAUAUAUCUCAUAGUAUGGGUGUAGAUUCUGCAAAGGUUAAUGCAGUUAAACAUAUUUGACACAUAAAAAUGUCAGAUCCAACAUUAAUCAUUCACCAAUUGUAAUUGCCUUUCUAUGGGUCUCUUCUCCCCAAGACAUAGCUUAAAACACCAGGCUCGGUAGAAAUCUGGGAGGAAAAAAGCAAAUAAUACCUCUCAGCUGUCAGGGUCUAUGAUACGCUUUGAUAGAUUUAGCACUGAUUUCAUUCUCUUUACAAUUCAGUGUGAUUGGGUGUGCGUGUGUGUGUGUGUGUGUGUGUGUGUGUGUGUGUGUGUUACUCCAUGUUUCUCCUUUUUAAGGAAGGAGAAGGUGUGGAACAAGAGAAAGUUCCUAAGUCUGAAGGAAGUCCAACCCAGUUAUGAAGGGAAUGCCAUCCACAAGCCUUUUUUAUAAUUGGCCCCUGCCUCAGGUAAAGGGGUCUCCUUUAAGGAGCCAGUCUGGCUAAAUUGGCAGAUUCUGAACAAAGCCUGGCCCUGACAAGUCUUCAGAAAAACCGGUUUUCACCUCCAGAAUGUGCCCCAG
rnacentral:lncRNA from 10 species